AGAGCAAUGGGGACGGGCAGGGACAGAGCUGCGGGCUGAGGUUCCUCCGUUCGGCGAAGCCCCUUCUCUCUGCCCCCGCCUGCUCUGGGCUUUCUUGGCUAUGUCUGCUCCUGACAGGAGGGAUGUGUGUUGCCAGGGGUGGGGGCUUGGCGUGUGUGCGUGUGAGAAUAUGUGUGUGUGUUUAAAAUACAAAAAAAAAAAAAAAAGAAGCGUGCCUAUACUCAGCCGCGAGACGCUGGCCAGCCUCCAUCCGUGCCAACUCCCCUCCGAGCUGGCACUGGGGACUCCGGAGGCACGGGGAGGAGGAAGGUGCGGGCAGCUUGCGGUGAGGAUGGACGCGUGCCACCGACGUAUGCCAGCGGCUGCAGGGGGCCAAACGCCUAUCCACAAAACCCACCGCGAUCGCUGGCAGCCGUGGCGGGAGGCGGCAGCAGUUGGCAGAGGUGCCAGGGAGGGCCGGCUGGGGCAGGUGGAUCCUGGCAGCAGCAGCGCAGGUAAAGCGUGCGGGCUCGCGGGGUGUGGGCGCCUGGCAUCUGCGUCGGGUGCCAGAGGCCGGGGCCGGAUCUUGGCCUGGCUCUGGGUUGCAGGGCGUGGCAGCAUCAGGGAGGGCUGAAUCCCGCAGGGUUCUGGGCCAGCCUGGUAGAGGACGGCUCCUCUCGGCUUCCCCAGCGUCGCCCUGGGGCCUGUUUCCAGCUGUGCUUGGCCCUUCGUCCUCCAGGGAGCUCGGUUGGGUGGGCUCGGUGGGGCCAGCAUGGGGUCGGCCACAUCACCUCCGCCUGAUGCCCUGUGGGCCCCCAGGGCCAGGUCUCCUCUGCCCAGUUCCGUAUAGUCCCCCAGAUGGUCCCCAAAUGUUGGUCGCUGUCCCCAUGCGUGGGCUGCAGGGCUGUAUCUUGGGGCCCAGGGCUCCUAGGGGAGUGCGUCUGCCUUCCCUCUCGUCUUCCCGGAGCCCCCGCCCCACCUCUUGCUCCCAGCCUGGCUUGGUGCCUCAGAGCCUGUGCGGAACGAUGGGACAGACGCCAAACGUGUGGUAGCAGGAGUGCGGGUGACGGUGCAGCAAGCCCAGCUGCUGAGGGUGGGAAGGAGCCCGAGGUGAGGGACUCCCCAGCAGCUCCAAGGCAAAGUCCUGCUGCCCUUCCCAGCAAUUACAGGCUGGGCAGAAAGAGCUGGGGGCCGUGGGAGAGGGGAUUUUCACCUGCAGAAAGGUGGGUGACACCCAGGUGGGCCAGCGUGGAGCUGGCAGGGCUGGGGGUGUUAGUCCCGGCGUCUGGCUGUGGCCCCUCAGCGUGAUCCAUGGCGAGCAGGAUGGCAGAGGCUGCCAGCCACAGCAUCAGCUGGCAGAGGCUGGCACCAGACCCAUGCCCUGGCAGGAGCAUGGCACAGAGGGGCCCUGGCUGUGCCGGGGGCUCUGGGCUGGCCGCUGUCCCAGUCAAUGCUCUGGGCAGCCAAUCCAGUCCCAGAAAGAAGGUUGCACUGGAGGGGCGAUUAGAGCACAUGGGCAGGGGCUGGGGUAAAGAUGGCUGGGUGGCUGGGCCCCCAGCUCCUCCAAGCCCGGGAGGAGGUUAGGCCCAUGGACCUUAAAACUCCGAGCCUAGAGUCGGGCUGGCCCACAGGAGCCUCCACCUUGAAGGGGCUAGGAGGGGCCUCUGAGGCCAAGGUCAGGAGCCC
rnacentral:lncRNA from 1 species